AUCGCUUCUCGGCCUUUUGGCUAAGAUCAAGUGUAGUAUCUGACUCAUUCACUUUAUUUUUUUGUACUUUCUUCCUCUUUCUCACUCCUUUAUAAUGGUAAUUAUAUGGAGGCUUGUAAGGCUCAUGGGUUCCCUUGAGAUUUGGCAUGAAGGUU
rnacentral:snRNA from 1 species